UUUUUCCUUGCAGAGAAGAUGAGACCUGUCUGUCCAAAAAUCAGAGCAGGAAUCAGAGAGAUUGUCUUAGAGAUAAAGAAUGAAGUAGGAAGAAAAGAAGCUUAGAUUCUGAAUCUCAAGAUACAAUUUAGGCAAUGGGAAGAGGUCUCAGAGGAUGUAGACCUACAGCACAGAAACACUCCAGCAGUGCCCUAAGGAUCCUUAAUGUAUCUUGAACAGGCUUCUCUGAAU
rnacentral:lncRNA from 1 species